UACGUAGGGACCAAGCGUUGUUCGGAUUUACUGGGCGUAAAGGGCGCGUAGGCGGCGCGGUAAGUCACUUGUGAAAUCUCUGAGCUUAACUCAGAACGGCCAAGUGAUACUGCAGUGCUAGAGUGUGGAGGGGGCAAUCGGAAUUCUUGGUGUAGCGGUGAAAUGCGUAGAUAUCAAGAGGAACACCUGAGGUGAAGACGGGUUGCUGGGCCAACACUGACGCUGAGGCGCGAAAGCCAGGGGAGCAAACGGG
rnacentral:rRNA from 1 species